UGGGGAAUUUUGGACAAUGGGCGAAAGCCUGAUCCAGCAAUGCCGCGUGUGUGAAGAAGGCCUUCGGGUUGUAAAGCACUUUUGUCCGGAAAGAAAUGGCUCUGGUUAAUACCUGGGGUCGAUGACGGUACCGGAAGAAUAAGGACCGGCUAACUACGUGCCAGCAGCCGCGGUAAUACGUAGGGUCCAAGCGUUAAUCGGAAUUACUGGGCGUAAAGCGUGCGCAGGCGGUUGUGCAAGACCGAUGUGAAAUCCCCGAGCUUAACUUGGGAAUUGCAUUGGUGACUGUACGGCUAGAGUGUGUCAGAGGGGGGUAGAAUUCCACGGGUAGCAGUGAAAUGCGUAGAGAUGUGGAGGAAUACCGAUGGCGAAGGCAGCCCCCUGGGAUAACACUGACGCUCAUGCACGAAAGCGUGGGGAGCAAACAGG
rnacentral:rRNA from 1 species